UACAGAGGUCUCGAGCGUUAGGCGGAAUCACUGGGCUUAAAGCGUGUGUAGGCGGAUCGUUAAGUGCCUUGUGAAAUCCCACGGCUCAACCGUGGAACUGCUUGGCAUACUGGCGGUCUUGAGCAACCUAGGGGCGAGCGGAACAAAUGGUGGAGCGGUGAAAUGCGUAGAUAUCGCUUGGAACGCCGAAGGUGAAAACAGGCUGCUGGGGUUGUGCCGACGCUGAGACACGAAAGCCAGGGGAGCAAACGGG
rnacentral:rRNA from 1 species